GUAUUCGCUUUGRCAGUACAUAUAUUAAAACUGGAACAAGAAGAUUAGCAUGGCCCCUGUGUAUUCAUGGAUUUAAACAAUCAUGACUUGAAAAUAUUUUUU